rnacentral:rRNA from 1 species
UACGUAGGGGGCUAGCGUUGUCCGGAUUUAUUGGGCGUAAAGAGCGUGUAGGCGGCCAGGUAGGUCUGCUGUGAAAACUCGAGGCUCAACCUCGAGACGUCGGCGGAAACCAUCUGGCUAGAGUCCGGAAGAGGAGAGUGGAAUUCCGUGGUGUAGCGGUGAAAUGCGCAGAUAUCAGGAAGAACACCCGUGGCGAAGGCGGCUCUCUGGGACGGUACUGACGCUGAGACGCGAAAGCGUGGGGAGCGAACAGG